CGGAGUGGAAAGGAGGAGAGGGGUGGAGGGGUGGAGGGGGGGAGUAAAAACAGUGAAGAAAUCGCUGAAAUGCAGGCUUGGGACAAGGAAGAUGGAGGGAUGUCAUGUUGCUGCACUUAGCGUUACAGGCCUCAUAGGUUCCAAAAAACACAGGAGUCACGAAAUUUUCGUCCAGAGCUGCAGGACUGCUGCAAGAUGCACCACUACAGAUGUUAAUUAUUUGGAUGUCCUACGUCCUGCUUAAUUAUUUGGAUGUCCUACGUCCUGCUUAAUUAUUUGGAUGUCCUACGUCCUGCUUUGUUACAAAAUCUUGCAACAGGAGCAGUAAUUUAAUUUCCUCCGCCGCAUUGAAGAGCCACCAGCCGCCUGUCAGGCCGAGCUCAGCCUCCCCAACCCCGGGCAGCGGGCAGGAGACUGGCUCCGGGCGAUUCUGGAGAGGGAGGAGGGGGAGGUUGACAUCUGCCUCCAAAUAAAAGUGUACAUGAAUGAUAUCCUGGGAUGUAAUGGAGGACCAGAAGACCAGAAGAGAAGAGAAGAGAAGAGAAGAGAGAGAGAGAGAGCAUUAGGCCUAAGGGCACAUCAUUAUUAGAGGCUGGCUUCCCUCCCUCUCUCUCUCUCUCUAACAGGCUUUCUCUCAUCCAAUCACAGGGGCGGUCGAAGGACAAACAGUGAGCCAACCAGAGUACAGCAGCUUCAGUACAGGGCAGUACAGUUUCUAAUUAUGCCAUGAUACAAGGCAAUAUUCCUCUCUAAAUAUUCCCACAUAAAUUCAUUUCACAACCCAUUAAAGAUACAGCGGGUGAGAUCAUUUACAUCACCGUGUCCCAGUACAAUACAGCACGAUGCCGACUUUUACAGCGCCGCCAAAUGUGCCAAGUCCCCCCGGUUGAACGGCAACCUGGUAGGCAUUAACUCAACAUAAUGUCUCACAAAUUAAAGUAUUGCUGGUGCUACCACCACGGCGUCAGAUAAAUGUGCUCUAUUAGGAGGCCCCAAGCUGUGAGCAAAACAAUUGAUUGCUUGUUUGUGUUUUCAUAUGGCGUCCGCAAACAUGCAGAGUGAUGGAUGAGAGCCCGCCAUCUCAAGUUGCUGUUAGUCGAUUGCUGUUGGUGAUUUUCUCCCCUUCCUCUAAUAGGAGAGUUGCUCAGUCCACGCACACACUCUUUAUAUUUUCUUUAUUGAGGCUGUAGGAAGACUGAGAGGGAGAGACAGUGCAGACGGGGCUGAUGGGGGUUGAACCGUGGCCAAUAAGGGCAGAGGUGAUUGCAGAGCCAGCAAGGUGUUGACUGCAGUAAUGUUCACAGCACAGGACUUCAUGUCCAGUUUCUAAUUGCUGCUGGUGCCAGAUUGAAUUUUUAUUUUUCUAUUUUUAGAUGUGAUCCAUUUCUGUAUCAAACACAUUUCAGUUGCUCUUACAGUAUGAGCCAGUGUGUAAAACAGAGUCUAAACAGAGUCUCCCUGAAUAACAAUUACUGUAAAUAAAGCUAUUUGGCUUUCUUUGCAUUGUUGUGUUAUGGUCCAACAUGCUAACACUGGCUCAGUGAAACUGCUGUGAGUGCAAUAACAAAUGUCUCUGGAGAAAAAAACGGAUACAUUCAGAAUGUUACAUUCCACAUAAACAUAUGUUUCAAUGUAUUUGUUACACAUCUAACAUGGUAAUAAAGAAAGAUCUGUGUCUCA